rnacentral:rRNA from 1 species
AACGAUCUGGGCGCUGUCUCAGCCAUGAGCUCGGUGAAAUUGUAGUCACGGUGAAGAUGCCGUGUACCCGUCACGGGACGGAAAGACCCCCAUGCACCUUUACUAUAGCUUCACAUUGUCAUUGGGAGAAUGAUGUGUAGGAUAGGUGGGAGGCGUUGAUCCAGGGCCGCUAGGUUUUGGGGAGCCAACGGUGAAAUACCACCCUUUAUUUUCUUGAUUCCUAAUCCCGUACAUACGGGAGACAUUGUGUGGUGGGUAGUUUGACUGGGGUGGUCGCCUCCGAAAGUGUAUCGGAGGCUUUCAAAGGUAUGCUCAGUACGGUUGGUAAUCGUAUGUGGAGUGCAAUAGCAUAAGCAUGCUUGACUGUGAGACCGACGGGUCGAGCAGGGACGAAAGUUGGAUAUAGUGAUCCGGUGGUUCUGCAUGGAAGGGCCAUCGCUCAAAGGAUAAAAGGUACGCUGGA